GGCAUGAGCCACCAUGCCUGGCUGACAUGGUCCUUAUUCUUAAGGCAUGGCUUUCUGAUGUCUUAACUGGAUCUCCAGGUGUUAACAAGGCCUCUACACUCUGACUGAGCAAGAACUCCAGUAUCUUCUAGCACUACUUGACUUCUAGUAUUUUUGCUCCACUCUCAACCUCAUAACAGCCCUUCCUGAACAGUCCUUAGAGGUAAAGUGGACACUUCAUCUGCCUUACCAGUGCCCAUGCACGUCCUCAUCUUCCUUACCAAGAGAACCCAGAACUGGUUCAGAGAUCCAGGCCUCCCACCUCAGACUCAUAAGAAGAGAGCUUCUCUUCCUCCUCUGGACGCUGUCCUGUGUGUAGCACUCAGGACUGCUGAAGACAUCUAGGUAACAGCUUGAAGGUGAAACCAGCACUGAGGUUUCCUGAUUCCUGGGUGGAGCGCAGACUGGAGCCUAAGCCCUGACAGCAUGGGACUUGCAGCUCAAGUAUAUCUGUGCUUCACUGGAAGAGUUGAAAGAGCUGGAGACUGUCUGUGAUCAAUGAGCCCCUGUCACUCUCAUGACACUUUCCUGAACCAUUUCACCAGCACUCAGAAGAUGAAGACUGUGCUCUACCUGUUCCUUCUCUGAAGCUAGAAGAUCUGGUGUUUCGACUUUGCCCCAGCCAACUGACCACAUUGAGUGAUGUGCUUAGUUUACACUGAAUACCAAGAGAUGGGUGGGAUUGCUGUGCAUAUAUAUUAGCAGGAUUUUGGCUGGAGGCCACUUGUGACCUCUAUUGAAUGUAACUUCCUCACUCAGGAGUUGAUAUGGAACCACUCACUCCUAUUGGCUCAGUGCCCAGAAGGCCUCAGAGAGAGCCCACAAGAUCAACCCGACAGACCCCGGCUUUCCAAAUAAAGAAACGCACCCCCCCCACCCCAGGGUAGGGGUCUUUGUGGGUCCUGCCUACACCCUCCUAGGAUUGCUUUCAGGGGCUCAGAAAAUUAGCAG
rnacentral:lncRNA from 1 species